GUCCACGCCGUAACUAUGGAUGCUAGCCGUCGGCAAGCUUGCUUGUCGGUGGCGCAGCUAACGCAUUAAGCAUCCCGCCUGGGAGUACGGCCGCAAGGUUAACUCAAAGGAAUUGACGGGGCCCGCACAAGCGGUGGAGCAUGUGGUUUAAUUCGAUGCAACGCGAAACCUUACCUACCCUUGACAUGUCAAGAAUCUUGCAGAGAUGUGAGAGUGCUCGAAAGAGAACUUGAACACAGGUGCUGCAUGGCCGUCGU
rnacentral:rRNA from 1 species